CCCUUAGAUGUUCUGGGCCGCACGCGCGCUACACUGAUGCAUUCAACAAGUUCUACCUUGGCCGAGAGGCCUGGGAAAUCUUUCAAAUAUGUAUCGUGAUAGGGAUAGAUUAUUGCAAUUAUUAAUCUUGAACGAGGAAUUCCUAGUAAAUGCAGAUCAUCAUUCUGCGUUGAUUACGUCCCUGCCCUUUGUACACACCGCCCGUCGCACCUACCGAUUGAAUGAUCCGGUGAAGCCUCGGGAUUGUGCCCAGAGAACUUUAUUGUGAUUUGGGUGUGAGAACUUGUCUAAACCUUAUCAUUUAGAGGAGGGUGAAGUCGUAACA
rnacentral:rRNA from 1 species